GAUGAACGCUAGCGAUAGGCUUAACACAUGCCAGUCGAGGGGCAGCAUGGUCUUAGCUUGCUAAGACUGAUGGCGACCGGCGCACGGGUGCGUAACGCGUAUGCAACUUGCCUCACAGAGGGGGAUAACCCGUCGAAAGACGGACUAAUACCGCGUACACUCUAUUUUGGGCAUCCAAGGUAGAGGAAAUGAAAUUCGCUGUGAGAUAGGCAUGCGUCCCAUUAGCUAGUUGGUGAGGUAACGGCUCACCAAGGCGACGAUGGGUAGGGGAACUGAGAGGUUGAACCCCCACACUGGUACUGAGACACGGACCAGACUCCUACGGGAGGCAGCAGUGAGGAAUAUUGGUCAAUGGGCGAGAGCCUGAACCAGCCAAGUCGCGUGAAGGAUGACUGUCUUAUGGAUGGUAAACUUCUUUUGUAGGGGAAUAAAGAGGGGCACGUGUGCCCCAGUGAAUGUACCCUACGAAUAAGCAGCGGCUAACUCCGUG
rnacentral:rRNA from 1 species